rnacentral:rRNA from 1 species
CCCUUAGAUGUCCUGGGCCGCACGCGUGUUACACUGACGCAUACAGCGAGCACUUUCCAGUUCCGAGAGGCUACUGGUAAUCAUCAAUAUGCGUCGUGAUGGGGAUAGAUCUUUGGAAUUCUGGAUCUUGAACGAGGAAUGCCUAGUAAUCGCAGGUCAUUAGCCUGCGAUGAUUAAGUCCCUGCCCUUUGUACACACCGCCCGUCGCUACUACCGAUUUCGAGUGGUCAGGUGAAUCUUUCGGACUGUGGGCGCCCUUGAGGUGUUCGCGGAAAGUCAGGUAAAUCUUAUCACUUAGAGGAAGUAAAAGUCGUAACA